GGUGGCAUGUGCCUGUAAUACCAGCUAUUCGGGAGGCUGAGGCAGGAGAAUUGCUUGAACCUGGGAGGCAGCGGUUGCACUGAGCUAAGAUCUCGCCAUUGGGCUGAGCCGCAUUUCAGCUCAAUCCUUAGUGCCAAAUGGCCAGGAUUUUCUCCUGAAAAUUUCCAUAACUUCUGAACGUUUACUCUCCCUUCAUUUCUUUGUAAUUCCUUAUAACUACUAUCAGAGCCAAGAGCCCACCCUCCCUCCACGUGACACACUCAUGGUUUAUUACCUGCAAGAAUGUUACCAUCUCAUUGGAACAAGCUUCUAGGUUAAUCCUCCGUACAGUCACAUACUCUCCCGUGGGUUUGUACCUUGCUAGAUUCACAGUCAUCAGGUCCUCAAAUCCUUUGCCUUAAAGAAAAGAAGAAUGCCAUACACAAGGACAAGAGCAACAAGGGGUUUAAAAAAUUUCCUUUAAAAAAGGGAGUUGAUUUCAGAAGAAACUUACUGUUAAAAUUCCCACUACUGUUACUUUUUCUGUUUCUUUUCCCCCCUUUUUCCCAGCAGAAUUUUACUGUUCUGUUCAUGGCUCACAUUUCUUGAUUUUACUCCCAUCAGUUCCUUCUCAGCCAAUCAUUCUGACUCACUACGGCCAGGACACCAGAAACAUGCAGCCACAAAGAAAAAAUGGCAAAAGGGCUACUCUCCUGGAAGCUUGAUCUCUUCCCAUACUUGGCAGA